rnacentral:tRNA from 1 species
GCUGGGUUCGCUUAAUUGGCAAAGCAAUUGGCUCGUUUCCAAUAGAUGGUGGUUCGAUUCCAUCACCCAGCU